GACGAACGCUGGCGGCGUGCUUAACACAUGCAAGUCGAGCGAGGCCCCGCCUUCGGGUGGGUGUCCUAGCGGCGAACGGGUGAGUAACACGUGGGCAACCUGCCCUCAGCUCUGGGAUAACUCCAAGAAAUUGGGGCUGAUACCGGAUAUGACCGCUGACCGCAUGGUCUGGUGGUGGAAAGAUUUAUCGGCUGGGGAUGGGCCCGCGGCCUAUCAGCUUGUUGGUGGGGUAGUGGCCUACCAAGGCGACGACGGGUAGCCGGCCUGAGAGGGUGCCCGGCCACACUGGGACUGAGACACGGCCCAGACUCCUACGGGAGGCAGCAGUGGGGAAUAUUGCGCAAUGGGCGGAAGCCUGACGCAGCGACGCCGCGUGGGGGAUGACGGCCUUCGGGUUGUAAACCUCUUUCAGCAGGGACGAAGCGAAAGUGACGGUACCUGCAGAAGAAGCACCGGCCAACUACGUGCCAGCCGCCGCAGUAACAC
rnacentral:rRNA from 1 species